CUAAAAAACCCCACAGGCUGGUCUGAAGAGGAAGACACUUAAAGAUGAAGUGCUUAAUUCAAGGUCACAGAAUGUCGGGGAUGGACCUCCAGAUUUCCUUACUGGAAAACAAGCUCAGGGCUCCCACUGAUUGUACAUUAUGGUGAGACGUGGUCUUGUAACACAGUGGUUAAGAAUGUGACUUUGGAGCCAGCCUGCUAGGGGCUGAAUUCUGACUCAGCCAUUUAUUAACUGUGUGACCUUAGGUCAUAGAAUUUUCCACACUCCUUGACGGAGGUUCUUAACCCUUAUCCAUCAGCAUUCUCAGACAGCACCUCCGGUUAGGGACAGUAUCUGACCGUCCGACAUCCCUGCAGCCCCCAUGCUGUCACACAGACUCAGCCUCAGGUAGAUGGUUUCCGUAGAUGGUGGCUUUCUUUGGACCCUUGAUAUCAACCAGUUACUAUUUGACUCUUCUGCAGAACCCCAUGUUGACCCCUGCUUUGAGGUGGCAGCGUUAACACUACUCUUUGUUAUAAGCUCUCGUCUGGGGCAACUCAGGAGAACGGGACCAGAUGUGCAGAGGUAAUGAAUACCAGGGAAUCAGGAAACCACUGGAUCAGUUCUUUGAGCCAUAGAACAACACUCAUCCCAGCAGCUGGGAAGCUAUCUGCAAAAGUCCAUCUGCAGAAAGGGCUUCCUGGUCUUGCGUGUGGCUGGGCCAUUUCUCUGGAUGCAGGUUUUUCAUUAUACAGUCUUCUCAAAGGACCACCUGCUCUCAACACC
rnacentral:antisense_RNA from 1 species